UCUUUGAAACUUUUAUUAGCAACAGCUUUCACGCUCAUAUCAAGCUCGCAGUGGUCAAGGAAGAAGGGCGUCCUGUCGUCGAUGGUCGAAAGUCACCAGAGUGCUUCCUUCACAUCAGUGGGGUUUGGAGCAGAGGCAAGGCCUUGAAGCUCAACCCUCAGAGACUUUUAGACUCUCUGCUAGAAAAGCGCUUGCCUCCUUUAAUGAAGAAGAUGUAAACCAGUUUCAGGUGAAGAGGCUUGUGAAAACAGUAUGAAGCCGACUGGGAAUGGGGCGUUCCUUACCUUAACGAAUACCACAUUUGACCUUGGUUGUAUGUUUUUCUAUGUGUGUCAUGUCUUAUUAUGGAUUUUAUUAGUGUAGUAGUGCAGUGUUUGAGGAAGAUCAGUAGUAAUCUGUAGGUACAGGUUCACUGUUGUAUGAUGACCUCUUGUCUGUAUCUCAGUCAGUCAUGAUGUUUGGGUAUU